rnacentral:lncRNA from 1 species
CUUAAUCUUUGGCCCAUGAACAUUAAUAUGUGACCCAUAAUUACCACCUUAAAAUCCACUACAAACCACCGUAAAACAACCACAAAAAUCACAACCACCAACAUUUACAACCUCCAUCUCUACCACAAACACCACCCCAACAAAAAAACCCAAACUCUCCAUAGCUACCACCUCAAAUCCACAAAGGACAAGACCAACACCUCACCACAACCACCAACAAUCACAACCUCUAUCUCCACCACAACCACAACCUAACCAAAAACCUCAAAACUCGUUGCCACCACCUCAAUUCCACAAAGAAUAGAGAACAGAGAAAAAAAUGGGCCCAUCUUGCAACCUAAAACCACCACCACUAGAAAUACCACCACCAUUUUUGGCCCCAAAUUGCAAUUGAUUGAACCGUCCCAAUCGUGACUCUGGGGAUCAAAAUUCGAGGCAAUUGAGUAGCAAUUGG